rnacentral:rRNA from 1 species
UAGGGAAUCUUCGGCAAUGGACGAAAGUCUGACCGAGCAGCGCCGCGUGAGUGAAGAAGGUUUUCGGAUCGUAAAACUCUGUUGUUAGAGAAGAACAAGGACGUUAGUAACUGAACGUCCCCUGACGGUAUCUAACCAGAAAGCCACGGCUAACUACGUGCCAGCAGCCGCGGUAAUACGUAGGUGGCAAGCGUUGUCCGGAUUUAUUGGGCGUAAAGCGAGCGCAGGCGGUUUCUUAAGUCUGAUGUGAAAGCCCCCGGCUCAACCGGGGAGGGUCAUUGGAAACUGGGAGACGUGAGUGCAGAAGAGGAGAGUGGAAUUCCAUGUGUAGCGGUGAAAUGCGUAGAUAUAUGGAGGAACACCAGUGGCGAAGGCGGCUCUCUGGUCUGUAACUGACGCUGAGGCUCGAAAGCGUGGGGAGCAAACAGG